rnacentral:rRNA from 1 species
GUGGGGAAUCUUGCGCAAUGGGCGAAAGCCUGACGCAGCCAUGCCACGUGAAUGAUGAAGGUCUUAGGAUUGUAAAAUUCUUUCACCGGGGACGAUAAUGACGGUACCCGGAGAAGAAGCUCCGGCUAACUUCGUGCCAGCAGCCGCGGUAAUACGAAGGGGGCUAGCGUUGCUCGGAAUUACUGGGCGUAAAGGGCGCGUAGGCGGACAGCUUAGUCAGAGGUGAAAGCCCAGGGCUCAACCUUGGAAUUGCCUUUGAUACUGGCUGUCUUGAGUUUGGGAGAGGUGAGUGGAACUCCGAGUGUAGAGGUGAAAUUCGUAGAUAUUCGGAAGAACACCAGUGGCGAAGGCGACUCACUGGCCCAAUACUGACGCUGAGGCGCGAAAGCGUGGGGAGCAAACAGGAUUAGAAACCCUUGUAGUCC